GAGGCUUCACUUGAAUCAUUUUGCUUUCACAAUGUCGCCAAAAUUGCGCUGGUCUGUUUGGCGAAGCUCGCAAGUGAAGCUAUAAGAGCUCGUUCCCCUCGCUAUCCAGUGUCGCUAGUUUUGUGGCGCAUUUGGACGUUGGGGAACUACAUUA